rnacentral:rRNA from 1 species
GGGUUGUGAGGUUAAGCGACUAAGCGUACACGGUGGAUGCCCUGGCAGUCAGAGGCGAUGAAGGACGUGCUAAUCUGCGAUAAGCGUCGGUGAGGUGAUAUGAACCGUUAUAACCGGCGAUUUCCGAAUGGGGAAACCCAGUGUGUUUCGACACACUAUCAUUAACUGAAUCCAUAGGUUAAUGAGGCGAACCGGGGGAACUGAAACAUCUAAGUACCCCGAGGAAAAGAAAUCAACCGAGAUUCCCCCAGUAGCGGCGAGCGAACGGGGAGGAGCCCAGAGCCUGAAUCAGUGUGUGUGUUAGUGGAAGCGUCUGGAAAGGCGCGCGAUACAGGGUGACAGCCCCGUACACAAAAAUGCACAUAUUGUGAGCUCGAUGAGUAGGGCGGGACACGUGGUAUCCUGUCUGAAUAUGGGGGGACCAUCCUCCAAGGCUAAAUACUCCUGACUGACCGAUAGUGAACCAGUACCGUGAGGGAAAGGCGAAAAGAACCCCGGCGAGGGGAGUGAAAAAGAACCUGAAACUGUGUACGUACAAGCAGUGGGAGCCUCUUAAUGGGGUGACUGCGUACCUUUUGUAUAAUGGGUCAGCGACUUAUAUUCUGUAGCAAGGUUAACCGAAUAGGGGAGCCGAAGGGAAACCGAGUCUUAACUGGGCGUUAAGUUGCAGGGUAUAGACCCGAAACCCGGUGAUCUAGCCAUGGGCAGGUUGAAGGUUGGGUAACACUAACUGGAGGACCGAACCGACUAAUGUUGAAAAAUUAGCGGAUGACUUGUGGCUGGGGGUGAAAGGCCAAUCAAACCGGGAGAUAGCUGGUUCUCCCCGAAAGCUAUUUAGGUAGCGCCUCGUGAAUUCAUCUCCGGGGGUAGAGCACUGUUUCGGCAAGGGGGUCAUCCCGACUUACCAACCCGAUGCAAACUGCGAAUACCGGAGAAUGUUAUCACGGGAGACACACGGCGGGUGCUAACGUCCGUCGUGAAGAGGGAAACAACCCAGACCGCCAGCUAAGGUCCCAAAGUCAUGGUUAAGUGGGAAACGAUGUGGGAAGGCCCAGACAGCCAGGAUGUUGGCUUAGAAGCAGCCAUCAUUUAAAGAAAGCGUAAUAGCUCACUGGUCGAGUCGGCCUGCGCGGAAGAUGUAACGGGGCUAAACCAUGCACCGAAGCUGCGGCAGCGACACUAUGUGUUGUUGGGUAGGGGAGCGUUCUGUAAGCCUGUGAAGGUGUACUGUGAGGUAUGCUGGAGGUAUCAGAAGUGCGAAUGCUGACAUAAGUAACGAUAAAGCGGGUGAAAAGCCCGCUCGCCGGAAGACCAAGGGUUCCUGUCCAACGUUAAUCGGGGCAGGGUGAGUCGACCCCUAAGGCGAGGCCGAAAGGCGUAGUCGAUGGGAAACAGGUUAAUAUUCCUAUACUUGGUGUUACUGCGAAGGGGGGACGGAGAAGGCUAUGUUGGCCGGGCGACGGUUGUCCCGGUUUAAGCGUGUAGGCUGGUUUUCCAGGCAAAUCCGGAAAAUCAAGGCUGAGGCGUGAUGACGAGGCACUACGGUGCUGAAGCGACAAAUGCCCUGCUUCCAGGAAAAGCCUCUAAGCAUCAGGUAACAUCAAAUCGUACCCCAAACCGACACAGGUGGUCAGGUAGAGAAUACCAAGGCGCUUGAGAGAACUCGGGUGAAGGAACUAGGCAAAAUGGUGCCGUAACUUCGGGAGAAGGCACGCUGAUAUGUAGGUGAAGCGACUUGCUCGUGGAGCUGAAAUCAGUCGAAGAUACCAGCUGGCUGCAACUGUUUAUUAAAAACACAGCACUGUGCAAACACGAAAGUGGACGUAUACGGUGUGACGCCUGCCCGGUGCCGGAAGGUUAAUUGAUGGGGUUAGCGGUAACGCGAAGCUCUUGAUCGAAGCCCCGGUAAACGGCGGCCGUAACUAUAACGGUCCUAAGGUAGCGAAAUUCCUUGUCGGGUAAGUUCCGACCUGCACGAAUGGCGUAAUGAUGGCCAGGCUGUCUCCACCCGAGACUCAGUGAAAUUGAACUCGCUGUGAAGAUGCAGUGUACCCGCGGCAAGACGGAAAGACCCCGUGAACCUUUACUAUAGCUUGACACUGAACAUUGAGCCUUGAUGUGUAGGAUAGGUGGGAGGCUUUGAAGUGUGGACGCCAGUCUGCAUGGAGCCGACCUUGAAAUACCACCCUUUAAUGUUUGAUGUUCUAACGUGGGCCCCUUACCGGGGUUGCGGACAGUGUCUGGUGGGUAGUUUGACUGGGGCGGUCUCCUCCUAAAGAGUAACGGAGGAGCACGAAGGUUGGCUAAUCCUGGUCGGACAUCAGGAGGUUAGUGCAAUGGCAUAAGCCAGCUUGACUGCGAGCGUGACGGCGCGAGCAGGUGCGAAAGCAGGUCAUAGUGAUCCGGUGGUUCUGAAUGGAAGGGCCAUCGCUCAACGGAUAAAAGGUACUCCGGGGAUAACAGGCUGAUACCGCCCAAGAGUUCAUAUCGACGGCGGUGUUUGGCACCUCGAUGUCGGCUCAUCACAUCCUGGGGCUGAAGUAGGUCCCAAGGGUAUGGCUGUUCGCCAUUUAAAGUGGUACGCGAGCUGGGUUUAGAACGUCGUGAGACAGUUCGGUCCCUAUCUGCCGUGGGCGCUGGAGAACUGAGGGGGGCUGCUCCUAGUACGAGAGGACCGGAGUGGACGCAUCACUGGUGUUCGGGUUGUCAUGCCAAUGGCACUGCCCGGUAGCUAAAUGCGGAAGAGAUAAGUGCUGAAAGCAUCUAAGCACGAAACUUGCCCCGAGAUGAGUUCUCCCUGACUCCUUGAGAGUCCUGAAGGAACGUUGAAGACGACGACGUUGAUAGGCCGGGUGUGUAAGCGCAGCGAUGCGUUGAGCUAACCGGUACUAAUGAACCGUGAGGCUUAACCUUACAACGCCGAAG